UACGUAGGGGGCGAGCGUUGUCCGGAAUCAUUGGGCGUAAAGCGCGUGUAGGCGGCUUGGUAAGUCCGGUGUGAAACCUUGGGGCUCAACCCCAAGCCUGCACUGGAUACUGCCUCGCUUGAGUCCGGGAGGGGAGAGCGGAAUUCCUAGUGUAGCGGUGAAAUGCGCAGAUAUUAGGAAGAACACCGGUGGCGAAGGCGGCUCUCUGGAACGGUACUGACGCUGAGACGCGAAAGCGUGGGGAGCGAACAGG
rnacentral:rRNA from 1 species